CACGGCGGCACUAGCGCGGUGGUCCCACCUGACCCCAUGCCGAACUCAGAAGUGAAACGCCGUAGCGCCGAUGGUAGUGUGGGGUCUCCCCAUGUGAGAGUAGGGAACUGCCAGGC
rnacentral:rRNA from 1 species